GUAGGGUGCGAGCGUUAAUCGGAAUUACUGGGCGUAAAGUGUGCGCAGGUGGCCGCGCAUGUCGAGUGUGAAAUCCCCGGGCUUAACUUGGGAAUUGCGCUCGAAACUACGUGGCUGGAGUGUGGCAGAGGAAGGUGGAAUUCCAGGUGUAGCGGUGAAAUGCGUAGAGAUCUGGAGGAACACCGAUGGCGAAGGCAGCCUUCUGGGCCAACACUGACACUCAUGCACGAAAGCGUGGGGAGCAAACAGGAUUAGAUACCCUGGUAGUCCACGCCCUAAACGAUGAUGACUAGUUGUUGGAGGAGUUAAAUCCUUUAGUAACGCAGCUAACGCGUGAAGUCAUCCGCCUGGGGAGUACGGUCGCAAGAUUAAA
rnacentral:rRNA from 1 species